rnacentral:rRNA from 1 species
UUAAGCGACUAAGCGUACACGGUGGAUGCCCUGGCAGUCAGAGGCGAUGAAGGACGUGCUAAUCUGCGAUAAGCGUCGGUAAGGUGAUAUGAACCGUUAUAACCGGCGAUUUCCGAAUGGGGAAACCCAGUGUGAUUCGUCACACUAUCAUUAACUGAAUCCAUAGGUUAAUGAGGCGAACCGGGGGAACUGAAACAUCUAAGUACCCCGAGGAAAAGAAAUCAACCGAGAUUCCCCCAGUAGCGGCGAGCGAACGGGGAGGAGCCCAGAGCCUGAAUCAGUGUGUGUGUUAGUGGAAGCGUCUGGAAAGGCGUGCGAUACAGGGUGACAGCCCCGUACACAAAAAUGCACAUAUUGUGAGCUCGAUGAGUAGGGCGGGACACGUGGUAUCCUGUCUGAAUAUGGGGGGACCAUCCUCCAAGGCUAAAUACUCCUGACUGACCGAUAGUGAACCAGUACCGUGAGGGAAAGGCGAAAAGAACCCCGGCGAGGGGAGUGAAAAAGAACCUGAAACCGUGUACGUACAAGCAGUGGGAGCCUCUUUUAUGGGGUGACUGCGUACCUUUUGUAUAAUGGGUCAGCGACUUAUAUUCUGUAGCAAGGUUAACCGAAUAGGGGAGCCGAAGGGAAACCGAGUCUUAACUGGGCGUUAAGUUGCAGGGUAUAGACCCGAAACCCGGUGAUCUAGCCAUGGGCAGGUUGAAGGUUGGGUAACACUAACUGGAGGACCGAACCGACUAAUGUUGAAAAAUUAGCGGAUGACUUGUGGCUGGGGGUGAAAGGCCAAUCAAACCGGGAGAUAGCUGGUUCUCCCCGAAAGCUAUUUAGGUAGCGCCUCGUGAAUUCAUCUCCGGGGGUAGAGCACUGUUUCGGCAAGGGGGUCAUCCCGACUUACCAACCCGAUGCAAACUGCGAAUACCGGAGAAUGUUAUCACGGGAGACACACGGCGGGUGCUAACGUCCGUCGUGAAGAGGGAAACAACCCAGACCGCCAGCUAAGGUCCCAAAGUCAUGGUUAAGUGGGAAACGAUGUGGGAAGGCCCAGACAGCCAGGAUGUUGGCUUAGAAGCAGCCAUCAUUUAAAGAAAGCGUAAUAGCUCACUGGUCGAGUCGGCCUGCGCGGAAGAUGUAACGGGGCUAAACCAUGCACCGAAGCUGCGGCAGCGACGCUUAUGCGUUGUUGGGUAGGGGAGCGUUCUGUAAGCCUGUGAAGGUGUGCUGUGAGGCAUGCUGGAGGUAUCAGAAGUGCGAAUGCUGACAUAAGUAACGAUAAAGCGGGUGAAAAGCCCGCUCGCCGGAAGACCAAGGGUUCCUGUCCAACGUUAAUCGGGGCAGGGUGAGUCGACCCCUAAGGCGAGGCCGAAAGGCGUAGUCGAUGGGAAACAGGUUAAUAUUCCUGUACUUGGUGUUACUGCGAAGGGGGGACGGAGAAGGCUAUGUUGGCCGGGCGACGGUUGUCCCGGUUUAAGCGUGUAGGCUGGUUUUCCAGGCAAAUCCGGAAAAUCAAGGCUGAGGCGUGAUGACGAGGCACUACGGUGCUGAAGCAACAAAUGCCCUGCUUCCAGGAAAAGCCUCUAAGCAUCAGGUAACAUCAAAUCGUACCCCAAACCGACACAGGUGGUCAGGUAGAGAAUACCAAGGCGCUUGAGAGAACUCGGGUGAAGGAACUAGGCAAAAUGGUGCCGUAACUUCGGGAGAAGGCACGCUGAUAUGUAGGUGAAGCGACUUGCUCGUGGAGCUGAAAUCAGUCGAAGAUACCAGCUGGCUGCAACUGUUUAUUAAAAACACAGCACUGUGCAAACACGAAAGUGGACGUAUACGGUGUGACGCCUGCCCGGUGCCGGAAGGUUAAUUGAUGGGGUCAGCGCAAGCGAAGCUCUUGAUCGAAGCCCCGGUAAACGGCGGCCGUAACUAUAACGGUCCUAAGGUAGCGAAAUUCCUUGUCGGGUAAGUUCCGACCUGCACGAAUGGCGUAAUGAUGGCCAGGCUGUCUCCACCCGAGACUCAGUGAAAUUGAACUCGCUGUGAAGAUGCAGUGUACCCGCGGCAAGACGGAAAGACCCCGUGAACCUUUACUAUAGCUUGACACUGAACAUUGAGCCUUGAUGUGUAGGAUAGGUGGGAGGCUUUGAAGUGUGGACGCCAGUCUGCAUGGAGCCGACCUUGAAAUACCACCCUUUAAUGUUUGAUGUUCUAACGUUGACCCGUAAUCCGGGUUGCGGACAGUGUCUGGUGGGUAGUUUGACUGGGGCGGUCUCCUCCUAAAGAGUAACGGAGGAGCACGAAGGUUGGCUAAUCCUGGUCGGACAUCAGGAGGUUAGUGCAAUGGCAUAAGCCAGCUUGACUGCGAGCGUGACGGCGCGAGCAGGUGCGAAAGCAGGUCAUAGUGAUCCGGUGGUUCUGAAUGGAAGGGCCAUCGCUCAACGGAUAAAAGGUACUCCGGGGAUAACAGGCUGAUACCGCCCAAGAGUUCAUAUCGACGGCGGUGUUUGGCACCUCGAUGUCGGCUCAUCACAUCCUGGGGCUGAAGUAGGUCCCAAGGGUAUGGCUGUUCGCCAUUUAAAGUGGUACGCGAGCUGGGUUUAGAACGUCGUGAGACAGUUCGGUCCCUAUCUGCCGUGGGCGCUGGAGAACUGAGGGGGGCUGCUCCUAGUACGAGAGGACCGGAGUGGACGCAUCACUGGUGUUCGGGUUGUCAUGCCAAUGGCACUGCCCGGUAGCUAAAUGCGGAAGAGAUAAGUGCUGAAAGCAUCUAAGCACGAAACUUGCCCCGAGAUGAGUUCUCCCUGACUCCUUGAGAGUCCUGAAGGAACGUUGAAGACGACGACGUUGAUAGGCCGGGUGUGUAAGCGCAGCGAUGCGUUGAGCUAACCGGUACUAAUGAACCGUGAGGCUUAACCUU